CCAUCAAAAUCACCUUGGAGUUGUGCAGCAUUUUACGUAAAUAACCAAGCUGAAAAAGAACAUGGAGUACCACAAUUAGUAAUCAAUUAUAAACCAUUAAAUGAUGUUUUACAAUGGAUCAGAUAUCCAAUACCAAAUAAAAGAGAUGUAUUAAAUCAAUUAUAUGAUGCAAAAAUAUUCUCAAAAUUUUACAUGAAAAGCAGAUUUUGGCAAAUACAAAUAUCCGAAAAUGAUAAAUACAAAACUGCAUUCACAGUACCAUUUGGACAUUACGAAUGGAACGUAAUGCCCUUUGGAUUAAAAAACGCACCAAGUGAAUUUCAACAUAUUAUGAAUGACAUAUUCAAUAAUUAUACUAAAUUCACAAUUGUCUAUAUAGACGAUGUAUUAGUUUAUUCAAACUCAAUCGAACAACAUGUUUAACAUUUAGAAACAUUUUUACAUACAGUCAAAAAACACGGUUUAGUAAUAUUACUCUCUACUUGAAUGGGUGAAUGGUCUACGGAAGAAUGUGUAGAAAAAGGCGUUUUGGUAAUCGGUGUAGGUGUAUCCGGGUAUGUAAAAGCCGGGAGUAUUGAAGGGUUUUUGAGUAUGGAGGUUGGUGAAGCCGAGGUCUCGGUAGGAUGCAACACGGAUAAUUUUGCAGGUUGAGUAGUCUAUUUGGUCUGGGUUAUUUUGGUUUUCAUGAUGUACAAUUGAAGCAGACAUAGAGUCUACUAGAAUGUACUCGUAGAAGGUUUGGUUUUUGGUUACAUUGUCUGUUGUCCAUAGGCUUGUUUCGUAGAAGACGCGGUUGAUAUAGUUUUGGAGUUCUUUUAGGGUUAUUGGUUUUGAAAAAUGGGUUGUAUGGAUGUGUUGGUAAUAGGGUUUUGUAUAGUAGUCGGACUUUUGAGUAGGAGUUGGUGGUUUCGAAGAGGUAUGGCCAGGAUUUGGAUUAGCUGCUUUUGCAUAUGAUAAGGGAGAAAACUCCGCAAGGGCUGAGAAGGUGUUGGUAGUUUGAGUAAGAUGUUUGUCUUGAAGGCGCGGUUGGUUUUGGAUAUAGUCGAGGGCUGUCAUUGGUCUUUUCUUUUUAUCUGCCAUGUUGAAUAUUCUGUUGAUUACGAUUUCCCUGUAAAUAUUCACGAGUUAAAAAAUCAGGUAAAGAAUUAUUUUCUCCUUUUAUAUAUUGAAUAUCGAAAUCAAAUACUGAUAAAAUUGCUUGCCAUCUUGCAAAAAUUUGUUUUGAAACCAAAUUUUUGACAUCUUUUUGUAAAAUCUCUUUCGCUGAAUUAUUUUAAUACUUUAUUAUUAUAUAAUAUCUUUUAUAAAAACUGUACUUAUUUGUACCCUAAAAUAAUAAAUAGAGUAUAUUUAGUUGUAUAAAAUAAAAUAAAUACGCAAGAAGCUCUAGAAGCAGUGACGCAAGCAGUGACGCAAUCAGUGACGUAAGCGAUGACGCAAUCAGUGACGUAAGCGAUGACGCAAGCAGUAACGUAAGCAAUGACGCAAUAACGAUGUCGGCACCAUUAGAUGAAAGACACGUGUACUCAACCAAUGAAUCAACGCCACAGCUCAAGCUUAUCAAGCAAGCCUCUUCGCCUAUAAAUACACAAGCUAUGGAGACAAAUGGGGCAUCAAAAGUUCUCUAAAGCCCUCUCGCUCUAAAAAAUUCUCACUCUAAAAAAUCUCUGCUCUCACCCCCUUAGUAAUACUCUCUACUUAUUGCGGUGAAGAGCUGAAAGUUUUAAAUUGUCAAAUUGCUCCACGGAACCUUCUAGGGAGCUACCUCACUAGACAGGUGGUAAACAAAUAUGCUUAUGUAAUGUAACAAUAACAAGGAGAUGGCUUUUUAUUCCGAGGAGGACAAGAGUGAAGACUACCUCAUCAAGAUUGUUCUCGUUGAGGAUUGUGCAGUCCGGACAUCAAACUUGCUUGCAAGAUUUGCAAGGGAUGAGAUAUUGGUAGAUGUUGGUUGUGUAUUGUUGGAUUUGCUUCUUGCUGGAGAUUAGGUUCUGAAAACGUAAACUUCUGUAUUAAUUUAUCAAGUUAUUUAGUGUGGUUCUUAUGUGUUCAAGACUGUGACAAGGCCGUUGGCAUAAAGCUUCGUUAGACUUCAAGAUGAUAGCAAAAUCUUAAAUUUAAACUCCAAACACACAAGCUUUAAUUUGUUAUGCCAUUAAUAAUAUAACAAUGCACAAAUGCCAUAAUUUUAAAAAACAACUAUUUUCAUCUUUUUUCUAAAUACAAAAAAAAAUUGGGGUUAAAGUUUAAAUUUAGGCUUUAGGGUUUAGAUUUAGGGUUUAUGUCAAACAUAAUAAACCAUAUAUACUCAGACCUUAUAUCAUCAUAGAUAUUGUAUUUUAAACUUUUAAUCAUAAUACUAAAUUAUUAACCACACAGCAUAAUGCUUAAAAAGUUAUAAACCCUAAACCCUAUAUACUCAGACCUUAUAUCAUCAUAAAAUUUUCAUUCUACACUUUUAAUCAUAAACACUGAAUCCUAAACUAUGAUCACAAACCUUUAAUUUGAAAACUUUAAAUAUAAACUCUAAUUCUUUGUGAGUUAUACUUUUAACUUAUAAUUUCAAACUUAAACUCUAACCUCUAUAUACAUAUACCCCAAAUUAAUACAACACUUCAAACCCUAUUCUCUAAUAAACCAAAAAAAUACAAUCUAAUCUUUUCAAUCAAACCUUAAACCCUAUAUACAUAUACCCCAAAUUAAUCACAUACCCUAUUCUCUAACUAAAAAAUCUUAAACCUCAAUAUUUUAAUUAUUUCAAUUAUGUAAUUUUAAAUCUUAAAUUCUAAUAUUAAAUAUUAAAUCUGAAAACUAUACUCCAAACCUUUAAUCUAAUACCCUAAACCCCAAAUCAAACCCUACAUACAAAGCCAUAAACCUAAUGUUUACAAAUAAUCUAAGUACUAGACUAAAACAUGUUCCUUAUAGAAAUUGUAAAUUAUCAAUUUUUUUGUAAAAUAUUUAUCCUAAAUUUUAACUUAAUCCCAAUUCUAUUUAAAAAACCUCAAACCAUAUACUUCAAACUUAACCACAACUACAUAAAAUAAUAGUCAACAGUUAUAAUAUUAAUAUUGACAGAUUUUUAAAAUUUGAGCCGUGAAAUAAUGAUUAUAAAAUCUUAAUUUUAUAUCAAACAUCUAUUUUUUUUACAAAAAAAUAUAAACCAAAAGUCAUCAAAAUAUUAAAAAUAUAACAGCAAAAGAUAAAAACAAAAAGGAAAAACUCUAUUGGAUAAUUAAUAAAAAAAAGAAAGAAAACUACAGGCCAAUCCGCUCUCAUCACGCGGAUCACCCUCUAAGCCGUAGGAUACAAUUAAAUCAGCGGAUGAAAUUUUUUUAUUUUCUUAUUUUCUCUUCUUUUUUUAUCUCUCUCUCUUAUCUUCACAGAUCUCUAUUUUUUUUAGAUCUCUCCAUCUUCGACAAAUCUCUCUAAUCUUUACAGAUCUCUUUUCCUUAACCAUUCACACACACGAUUCAUCUCACAGACAUCUCUCUGUCUCACUCUCCUAAUCUCUUUUUCUCACACACGACACAUCUCCAACCAUCUUCUUCAGAAAGGCGGACAAGGCGCAAAAGCGACGGUGGAGGCGCUCUGCGUUGGCUUCUCCUCCUCACCACCACCACAGGUCAACUCACUUCACCUUCUUUUUAUCUGCUCUCUUGUUCUCGUCAUCUUCUUAUAUAUUUAUGAUUGAUUUUUUUGUUUUGAUUACAGAUUUAAUAAGGAGCAAGGCAAGGAGAAGAAGUGGCGUUACAUAGCGGCGUCUCCGGUCAAGCGUGGUGCAGCGGUGGUGCAAGCCGGUGGUGGGGUGGUGGUCGUGCUGUGGAGAUGCGAGCAUCAUGGUCGGCGGAGACUGAAGAAGAAUGUAGUUUGGUGGAUGUAUUAGGUUUAGUUAGGGUUGAUUAGUUAACCAAUGUAAUUUUAAGCCAAUUUGGAACUGUAAACCAAUUUGUAAUUGUAAACCAUGUAAACCAAAAUUCGAUUUAUAAAAAUAUCAAUUU